AAAUUGAAGAGUUUGAUCAUGGCUCAGAUUGAACGCUGGCGGCAGGCCUAACACAUGCAAGUCGAACGGUAACAGGAAGAAGCUUGCUUCUUUGCUGACGAGUGGCGGACGGGUGAGUAAUGUCUGGGAAACUGCCCGAUGGAGGGGGAUAACUACUGGAAACGGUAGCUAAUACCGCAUAACGUCGCAAGACCAAAGAGGGGGACCUUCGGGCCUCUUGCCAUCGGAUGUGCCCAGAUGGGAUUAGCUAGUUGGUGAGGUAA
rnacentral:rRNA from 2 species